AUUGAACGCUGGCGGCAGGCCUAACACAUGCAAGUCGCACGAAUGGUGGACGGGUGAGUACUGUCUGGUAAACUUCCUGAUGGAGGGGGAUAACUACUGGAAACGGUUGCUAAUACCGCAUACAAUCGGCUGUGCACAAAUGGGAUUAGCUAGUAGGUGGGGUAAAGGCUCACCUAUGCGACGAUCCCUAGCUGGUAUGAGAUGAUGACAAUCCAACCUGGAACUGAGACACGGUCCAGACGCCUACGGGAGGCAGCAGUGUCGAAUAUUGCACAAUGGGAGCAAGCCUGAUGCAGCCAUGCCGCGUGUAUGAAGCAGGCCUUCGGGUUGUAAAGUACUUGCAGCGGGGAGGCGUUACCCGCAGAAGAAGCACCGGCUAACUCCGUGCCAGCAGCCGCGGUAAUUC
rnacentral:rRNA from 1 species